GACAGAGGCCUCGAGCGUUUAGGCGGAAUCACUGGGCUUAAAGCGUGUGUAGGCGGAUCGUUAAGUGUCUCGGUGAAAUCCCCCGGCUCAACCGGGGAACUGCUGGGCAUACUGGCGAUCUUGGGCCAUUCAGGGGCGACUGGAACAAGCGGUGGAGCGGUGAAAUGCGUAGAUAUCGCUUGGAACGCCGAAGGUGAAAACAGGUCGCUGGGGGAUGUG
rnacentral:rRNA from 1 species